UGGGGAAUAUUGCACAAUGGGCGAAAGCCUGAUGCAGCAACGCCGCGUGAGUGAUGAAGGCCUUCGGGUUGUAAAGCUCUGUCUUUUGGGACGAUAAUGACGGUACCAAAGGAGGAAGCCACGGCUAACUACGUGCCAGCAGCCGCGGUAAUACGUAGGUGGCAAGCGUUGUCCGGAUUUACUGGGCGUAAAGGAUGCGUAGGCGGAUUUUUAAGUGAGAUGUGAAAACCCUAAGCUUAACUUGGGGACUGCAUUUCAUACUGGAAAUCUAGAGUGCGGGAGAGGAGAAUGGAAUUCCUAGUGUAGCGGUGAAAUGCGUAGAGAUUAGGAAGAACACCAGUGGCGAAGGCGAUUCUCUGGACCGUAACUGACGCUGAGGCAUGAAAGCGUGGGUAGCAAACAGGAUUAGAUACCCUGGUAGUCCACGCCGUAAACGAUGAGUACUAGGUGUAGGAGGUAUCGACCCCUACUGUGCCGCAGUUAACACAAUAAGUACUCCGCCUGGGAAGUACGAUUGCAAGAUUAAAACUCAAAUGAAUUGACGGGGUCAUAGCUGUUUUCC
rnacentral:rRNA from 1 species